rnacentral:rRNA from 1 species
GAAGCGGCAACAGCUCAAAUUUGAAAUCUGGCGCAAGCCCGAGUUGUAAUUUGUAGAGGAUGCUUCUGGGUAGCGACCGGUCUAAGUUCCUUGGAACAGGACGUCAUAGAGGGUGAGAAUCCCGUAUGUGACCGGCCCGCACCCUAUACGUAGCUCCUUCGACGAGUCGAGUUGUUUGGGAAUGCAGCUCUAAAUGGGAGGUAAAUUUCUUCUAAAGCUAAAUACCGGCCAGAGACCGAUAGCGCACAAGUAGAGUGAUCGAAAGAUGAAAAGUACUUUGGAAAGAGAGUUAAAAAGCACGUGAAAUUGUUGAAAGGGAAGCGCCUGCAAUCAGACUUCGCGGCAGUGUUCCACCGGUCUUCUGACCGGUCUACUCUCUGCCGCGAGGCCAUCAUCGUCUUGGCCCGCUGGAUAAGACCCUGGGAAUGUAGCUCCCCCUCGGGGGAGUGUUAUAGCCCCGGGUGAUGCAGCGCGGCUGGGGCGAGGUCCGCGCUUCGGCAAGGAUGAUGGCGUAAUGGUUGUCGGCGGCCCGUCUUGAAACACGGACCAAGGAGUCUAACAUCUAUGCGAGUGUUCGGGUGUCAAACCCCUACGCGUAAUGAAAGUGAACGGAGGUGGGAACCGCAAGGUGCACCAUCGACCGAUCCUGAUGUCCUCGGAUGGAUUUGAGUAAGAGCAUAGCUGUUGGGACCCGAAAGAUGGUGAACUAUGCCUGAAUAGGGUGAAGCCAGAGGAAACUCUGGUGGA